rnacentral:rRNA from 1 species
AGUAAUGUAUGGGGAUCUGCCUGAUGGCGGGGGAUAACUACUGGAAGCGGUAGCUAAUACCGCAUAAUGUCUGCGGACCAAAGCGGGGGACCUCCGGGCCUCGCGCCAUCAGAUGAACCCAUAUGGGAUUAGCUUGUAGGUAAGGUAACGGCUUACCUAGGCGACGAUCCCUAGCUGGUCUGAGAGGAUGAUCAGCCACACUGGGACUGAGACACGGCCCAG